UAGGGAAUCUUCGGCAAUGGACGGAAGUCUGACCGAGCAACGCCGCGUGAGUGAAGAAGGUUUUCGGAUCGUAAAGCUCUGUUGUUAGAGAAGAACGUUGGUAGGAGUGGAAAAUCUACCAAGUGACGGUAACUAACCAGAAAGGGACGGCUAACUACGUGCCAGCAGCCGCGGUAAUACGUAGGUCCCGAGCGUUGUCCGGAUUUAUUGGGCGUAAAGCGAGCGCAGGCGGUUCUUUAAGUCUGAAGUUAAAGGCAGUGGCUUAACCAUUGUACGCUUUGGAAACUGUAGGACUUGAGUGCAUAAGGGGAGAGUGGAAUUCCAUGUGUAGCGGAGAAAUGCGUAGAUAUAUGGAGGAACACCGGUGGCGAAAGCGGCUCUCUGGUCUGUAACUGACGCUGAGGCUCGAAAGCGUGGGGAGCAAACAGG
rnacentral:rRNA from 1 species